GACGAACGCUGGCGGCGUGCCUAAUACAUGCAAGUCGAGCGAAGUUUUUCUGCUGCUUGCGCUAGAACAACUUAGCGGCGGGCGGGUGAGUCACACGUAACGUACCUUCCUCAUAGGCUGAGCCAACUAUUAGAAACGCUAACACAUACCGGAUAACAGCGUUACCUGCAUGGUUGAUGUUUAAUAGUUGGUUUUGCUAACACUACGAGAUGGCUUUGCGUUGCAUUAGCUAGUUGGUGGGGUAAAGGCCUACCGGGGCGACGAUGCAUAAGCGACCGGGGUGGCGGAUCGGCCACACUGGGACGGAGCCACGGCCCAGACUCCUACGGGAGGCAGCAGUAGGGAAUCGUACGCAAUGGGCGGAAGUCUGACGGAGCAACGCCGCGUGAGAGAAGAAGGAGUUCGGUGCGUAAAGAUGUGUUGUUAGGGAAGAACGAGUGUGUAGUAACGAUACGCAGGAGAGACGGUACCUAAUCAGAAAGCAACGGCUAACUACGUG
rnacentral:rRNA from 1 species